UCCAUCCGGCACAGAUACGCCACAUGCCUAGAUACAUUAGAGAUGCUCGUGGGACAGGAAAAGGGAGACGGCUCUAAUAAAUUCAAUGGUAGACAUGAUGUUCAUUCAUCUCUCACUGCUGCUUGUUGAAUAAAAGGUUCCAUGAAUUCAGUUUAUUAUCUUGCCUUGUGCCACUUGAUUUCCCUGAGCAGUCGAUAAAUUGAGCAAGGCCACAGCAGCACCUGCAUAUGUCUCCAAACAAUGGGUGGAAACUUGAGAGCCACCCUUUCCCCUGAUUUUUCCUCUGAGCAUUAAACCUGUGAAAGUGCCUUUCAGAAUUCAUGGGAAAAGUGGUGUGUAUGAAUCUCUCACUGUGCUUUCAAGCUGUAUUUGUGUGCUUUCAAGCACACUGCAGUAAUGCGACUUUCCCUUCAGUCUAAUAAGAACACCAGCACUCAGGAUGAAAAGGAUUACUUUGUGUAUUUACAUGGCACUGCGUUCAUGAGCCCGUACUUCAAGAAAACAUUGACUAAGAAUAGGAAAAGAAGAAGUAAGGGGCAAAUAGCGUGAAGAACUGGAGAAUGGUGGAUGAUCAGAAGAGCACACGUGACGCUUGAUGGAGAACACAAUGAGACACGGGAGACGAUCGAGAGCAACAGGAGAAUAUCAUUUGCUGAAUCGCAGGUGGCAUGCCAUCAGAGUGACAUUGAAAACUGCUGGGAGCUCACAUUUCUCCGCAAGAGGUCACUGGGAUAAUUCUCCAUCCUCUUGAGGCUUCAGGUUGGACUGUAGUCCCCAGUGUGAAAGACUGGAGAAGAUGGACACAGCUCUUAAUCACAGAUCGGUGAGACUGCAGGAACACAAACUCAUUAUCAAGAAGCUCCUGUGUCCACCGAGACCUGAUCAGACUCUCCACCUCCAGAACCCAAGAGGAUUCGGCAAACACCCACCCUAAUCCCUGCGCUAGAUCAGUUCCAGGACCAGCUGAAGCCCUUUAGCUAAUGAGGCACUGUGGAGACACCCUCAUGGCCAGGUGCAGUAAUGUACACUAAAUCAAAGACCAGGUAGAUGAUGGACAUAGACAGAGAUGGAGGUGGCAAAUGUGUUUCCUUUACAAAUUGAUCAGUGUUUUGGAAAGCUGUUGGUGAGUGCAUUUGCAGAAAUAGACUGACCUAACAUGUUUAUAGUAGACAUAUUUGAUAUACAGUAGCACAAUCAAAUGUAUUAUUACUUAAAUUAAAUGAAUAAUGUGGGUCCCAAAAGUGGAGAGGUCGCCACCGCAUCGGGAGGAAUGAGUGCGGACCACAAACACAGCAUAACGGUGGCCAUUACAGGAAGUUUGGCUUUUCCCAAGGUGGCGGCGACCGCUACAGUUCUUUCUGCAUCAUCUACCUGCCAUCUCAUGGCCACGGAGACUUCUCACGUCCUGUCUACGCCCCAUGUUACGGCCACGAAGGCUGUUCAAGGACUGUCUAUGCCAGGGGUCGGCAACCUUUUUGUCAUGAAGUGCCAUUUUUAAGUUUCUGAGUUAAUCACUGUGCCACAAUUUUGCAGGCGAAAAUUGUCUAUUGUCAAAAGUGUAGUUAUUUAUGAAGCACUGCUCACAGUCACUUUCAAACCAAGCACCUUUCUGUUGAUCAACACAGCGAUUUUGCAUGAUAAACUUGUAAAUAAAUGGGGAAAUUGUAUGCAAAAUUUCCAAUCGCAUGGAUUCCC